AUUGAACGCUGGCGGCAUGCUUUACACAUGCAAGUCGAACGGUAACAGGUUAAGCUGACGAGUGGCGAACGGGUGAGUAAUGCAUCGGAACGUGCCCGAUCGUGGGGGAUAACGCAGCGAAAGCUGCGCUAAUACCGCAUACGAUCUGAGGAUGAAAGCGGGGGACCGUAAGGCCUCGCGCGAUCGGAGCGGCCGAUGUCAGAUUAGGUAGUUGGUGGGGUAAAGGCUCCCCAAGCCAACGAUCUGUAGCUGGUCUGAGAGGACGACCAGCCACACUGGGACUGAGACACGGCCCAGACUCCUACGGGAGGCAGCAGUGGGGAAUGUUGGACAAUGGGCGAAAGCCUGAUCCAGCAAUGCCGCGUGCAGGAAGAAGGUCUUCGGGUUGUAAACUGCUUUUGUACGGAGCGAAAAGGCCCUCUCUAAUACAGUGGGCUCAUGACGGUACCGUAAGAAUAAGCACCGGCUAACUACGUGCCAGCCGCCGCCGUAA
rnacentral:rRNA from 1 species